GUUCUGAAGUUACUUGUAGUUGUGUGUUUUAUACUGCUUGAUGUACAAUCUGUUAUGUUCUGAGGUAACUUUUAGUUGUAUAUUUUAUACUGCUUGUGUUCAAUCUGUUAUGUUCUGAAGUAACUUGUAGUUAUGUUUUAUACUGCUUGUGUACAAUCUGUUAUGUUCUGAAGUAACUUGUAGUUAUGUGUUUUAUACUGCUUAUGUACAAUCUGUUAUGUUCUGAAGUAAUUUGUAGUUGUGUGUUUAAUACUGCUGGUGUGCAAUCUGU
rnacentral:lncRNA from 1 species